rnacentral:lncRNA from 1 species
GCUACAAUAACCAUAUGUGUGCAGGUGUCUUUUUCAUAUAAUGACUUAUCUUCCUUUAGAAAAAAAAAAAAGAAAAAGAAAAAAGGAAGAAAAAAAAAGAAAUCUCCAUACUGCUUUCCAUAUAGGUAAUACUAAUUUACAUUCCCACCCGCAGUGUAUAAGCGUUCCCUUUUCACCACAUCCAUGCCAACAUCUAUUGGUUUUUUUUUUCUUUUUUACAGCUGUUGCAAACAGAAUUAAGAUCUUGAUUUGAUUCUUAGCUUGGUG